rnacentral:rRNA from 1 species
AUUGAACGCUGGCGGCAGGCCUAACACAUGCAAGUCGAACGAUUGGCGGACGGGUGAGUAAUGUCUGGGAAACUGCCUGAUGGAGGGGGAUAACUACUGGAAACGGUAGCUAAUACCGCAUACCAUCGGAUGUGCCCAGAUGGGAUUAGCUAGUAGGUGGGGUAACGGCUCACCUAGGCGACGAUCCCUAGCUGGUCUGAGAGGAUGACCAGCCACACGGAGACGGAGACAGGGUCCAGACUCCUGCGGGAGGCAGCAGUGGGGAAUAUUGCAGAGUGGGGGGACGGCUGAUGCAGCCAGGCCGAGUGUAUGAAGAGGGCCGUCGGGGUGUAAAGUACUUUCAGCGGGAAGGCGUUACCCGCAGGAGAAGCACCGGCUAACUCCGUGCCAGCCGCCGCGGUAAUAC